rnacentral:rRNA from 1 species
UACGGGGGGGGGUAAGCGUUGUUCGGAAUUACUGGGCGUAAAGGGCUCGUAGGCGGCCAACUAAGUCACACGUGAAAUCCCUCAGCUUAACUGGGGAACUGCGUGUGAUACUGGAUGGCUUGGAUCCGGGAGAGGGAUGCGGAAUUCCAGGUGUAGCGGUGAAAUGCGUAGAUAUCUGGAGGAACACCGGUGGCGAAGGCGGCAUCCUGGACCGGUAUUGACGCUGAGGAGCGAAAGCCAGGGGAGCAAACGGG